rnacentral:rRNA from 1 species
AUAUCAGGAGGAACACCGGUGGCGAAGGCGGAUCUCUGGUCCGAUACUGACGCUGAGGAGCGAAAGCGUGGGGAGGGAACAGGAUUAGAUACCCUGGUAGUCCACGCCGUAAACGUUGGGAACUAGGUGUGGGCGACAUUCCACGUCGUCCGUGCCGCAGCUAACGCAUUAAGUUCCCCGCCUGGGGAGUACGGCCGCAAGGCUAAAACUCAAAGGAAUUGACGGGGGCCCGCACAAGCAGCGGAGCAUGUGGCUUAAUUCGACGCAACGCGAAGAACCUUACCAAGGCUUGACAUACACCGGAAACGGCCAGAGAUGGUCGCCCCCUUGUGGUCGGUGUACAGGUGGUGCAUGGCUG